UACGAAGGGUGCAAACGUUGCUCGGAAUUAUUGGGCGUAAAGCGCACGUAGGCGGUUCGUUAAGUCGGAUGUGAAAGCCCUCGGCUCAACUGAGGAAGUGCACCCGAAACUGGCGAGCUUGAGUACGAAAGAGGAUCGCGGAAUUCCCGGUGUAGAGGUGAAAUUCGUAGAUAUCGGGGAGGAACACCGGGUGGCGAAGGCGGCGAUCUGGGUCGAUACUGACGCGUGAGGUGCGAAAAGCGUGGGGGAGCAAACAGG
rnacentral:rRNA from 1 species